rfam:Streptomyces chattanoogensis strain NRRL ISP-5002 ISP5002contig6.1, whole genome shotgun sequence.
CGUACGGUGUGUUCCCAGGCCGCGCCCCCGUCCAGCAGCGCCGCCGCGCCCAGAUGGUCGCCGCCGGCCAGCUGCCCCUGGACCGUCUCCCCGCCGUACUUGCCGGUGCCGAGCCGGUCCAGCUUGCCGUGGGCGAUCAGGAUGAUCCGGUCCGCGGGCUGGUCCUGCUGGGCGAGCACAUCGCCGGGCGCGAACUCGUGCUGGGCGAAGCGGCCGGCCAGCGCCUCGAGCGUCGGGGUGUCCGUGAAGCCACGCAGCGGCGCCAGCUCACGCAACUCCUCGGGAAUCACCCGGACUUCGGCGCCGGUGUUGACGAACUCCACCUGCCCGUCGCCGAGCGUAUGGGUGAGACGGCGGUUGACGCGGUACGUACCGCCGUUGACCUGUGUCCAGGGCAGGACGCGCAGCAGCCAGCGGGAGGAGAUCCCCUGCAUCUGCGGCACGGUCUUGGUCGUGGUCGCCAGCUUGCGCGCGGCCGCGGUGUCCAGGCUGGAACGGUUCUG